GAUGAACGCUGGCGGCGUGCCUAAUACAUGCAAGUCGAGCGAACAGAUAAGGAGCUUGCUCCUUUGACGUUAGCGACGGACGGGUGAGUAACACGUGGGUAACCUACCUAUAAGACUGGAAUAACUCCGGGAAACCGGGGCUAAUGCCGGAUAACAUUUAGAACCGCAUGGUUCUAAAGUGAAAGAUGGUUUUGCUAUCACUUAUAGAUGGACCCGCGCCGUAUUAGCUAGUUGGUAAGGUAACGGCUUACCAAGGCAACGAUACGUAGCCGACCUGAGAGGGUGAUCGGCCACACUGGAACUGAGACACGGUCCAGACUCCUACGGGAGGCAGCAGUAGGGAAUCUUCCGCAAUGGGCGAAAGCCUGACGGAGCAACGCCGCGUGAGUGAUGAAGGUCUUCGGAUCGUAAAACUCUGUUAUUAGGGAAGAACAAAUGUGUAAGUAACUGUGCACGUCUUGACGGUACCUAAUCAGAAAGCCACGGCUAACUACGUG
rnacentral:rRNA from 1 species